GCCCGAUUGUACAUUGGCGGCUUAAGCUAUGGCUUAGUUGAACCGGGUUCAAUUUUGAGCGUCGGUUUAACUUCAUUCGGGUUGUUCAAUGCCGAGUUCAGUUAAGCCGAGGUUCAUACAAAUUUUGGUAAGGUUGGCAACGUAAGGCAUGCGUAUUCAAAGCAAUUCCCGUCAAUUCUCGACAUAAAUUUUCCCGCCAUUUAUGUAUUAUUAUUUGGUUUUUGUCAAUAUAAUUCUUUUAUUACUGUUAUUAGUUUAAUCGGUAUUUUCUAUCGUUUAGUUUAUCAGUUUAAUCAAUUUCCUACGUUAAAUUUGUGAACAGACCAUUUGAAUAGCUUGUGAUGAAGGAUUGCGUAAGGGUGUUAUCAGGUUUUCUUGACUCCGUAACCACUAUCACCAAAGAAGAUACUAAUUCAAUCUUCACAUUCUCUUCUCAUAAAUAUUUAACUGUUUACAGCUAUGAUUUCAAAUUCACUCAAAAAUGUUAAUAUUUGCCUUAUUCUAGGGAAGUAGGUAGGUAAUUUAAAUAAUUUUAGAAGGUAAAUUAGUUUGUAAUUAUUAUUAAAUAAAGUGAUAAUAUGUACCUACAUAAGCAUGGUACAAAUAUAAUUAAUUUAAGAUUUAUUAAUAAAUUAUGUACAUCUAAUUUAAUAAAUUAACAAAAUCGU